UUCGUAGGCGGUGCGGAAAGUUGGAAGUGAAAUCUCUGGGCUUAACUCAGAGACUGCUCUCAAAACUUCCGUGCUAGAGUGCGAGAGAGGCAAGUGGAAUUGCAGGUGUAGCGGUGAAAUGCGUAGAUAUCUGCAGGAACACCCGUGGCGAAGGCGGCUUGCUGGAUCGCAACUGACGCUGAGGAACGAAAGCUAGGGGAGCAAACAGGAUUAGAUACCCUGGUAGUCCUAGCCCUAAACGAUCAGAACUUGGGGUGCAUCCCGUUGGGGGUGCGUCUCGUAGCUAACGCGUUAAGUUCUGCGCCUGGGGAGUACGGUCGCAAGACUGAA
rnacentral:rRNA from 1 species